GGCAAGGAGACUCUCGAGCGCGGUUUCCAGUGAGGCCCUCCCUUCCUGUACGUGCACCUCGAGGUUCGGGGCGCUCUUUGCUCUGGGAGGUGGCCAGACGCCAGGGCUUUUGCCUUUUCUCCCUCACAGCCCGAGCUGCUGGGACCGAGCCAGACUCUGGGUGCUCAGUGUAGGCUAAAGGCAAAUAGGUCAAGGACGAAAGCUCGUGGACGGGCGACCGCAGGGCUCCAGGAAAGUCGGUUAAAACAGCGUUAGGCGGUCACCGCCCGUCCUGCCGGCGACUUCGCAGCGCAGGAGGGCUGACUGGUGGCCGGAGGGGGCUUCCGUCGGUACUGUGGGUUUUGUUAAGGCAAAACCCGGGAAGCCUGUGUGGUCCAGCGCGGAGGCGUCGGGCCUGGGCAAGGAGACUUAGGUGGUGUGUUUCGUUUGCACGCCUUCCACCUUCAGUUUUCUCAGUGUGUUAGUCGCUCAGUCGUGCCCGGCUCUUUUCGACCCCAUGGACUGCAGCUCAUCAGGCUCCUGUGUCCAUGAGAUUCUCCAGACAAGGAUACUGGAGUGGGUUGCCAUCUCUUUUUCCAGGGAAUCUUCCCUACCCAGGGAUCAAACCGGGAUCUCCUGCGCGGCAGGCAGAUUCUUUACCGACUGAGCUACAAGGGAAGCCCAAUUUUCUCAGAGUAAGACACCAAAGCAUACCAAGAACAGCAUCGAAGACGACUUCUGGGGACACAACCAAAGCUCAUAAAAUCCGAAUGUUUUCGUUACUCUUAACAAAUGCCAGUGCUCCUUGUACCUGGGUGUCGCAGCUGCUGUCCCCUCUGCCCGAAUCGCAGAGCCCGUGGUGUCCCCAACGGAGUGCUGCCUGCGUGUCCCAUCUGUGAGGACCAAACCUCUGUUCUGCUUUGCUUCCAUUGAGAGCACUCAUCACGUUGAAUGUCAGGCCCUGGGCCACUCGCAGAAGGAGGCAAAAAGUCAAAUCCAGAACGUAAGACGUUCUGCUGGGCAAAUGACCCCAGUUAGGGGUCUAGAGGGAAAAAGGAAGUAAGACUGUUUGAGAAUUAGAGCACAUAAAAGAUGGACUGUGUGGACCUUUAUUUGAAUCAUGAUCGAACAAACCAACUGUGAAAAAAGAUAUUUGUAAGAUAAAGGGGAAAGUCAAAUAUAAACUGUUAGAUGACAGGAGUUAUUGAUAUUUUUGUUAGGGAGAGGUGGCCUAAUGUUUAGAUUAAAAUAACGUAGUUGUUCGGCGAUGCCAAUGGAAGUAUUUAAAU
ensembl:lncRNA